rnacentral:rRNA from 1 species
GUCCCUACGGGACGCAGCAGUGAGGAAUAUUGGCCAAUGGGCGCAAGCCUGAACCAGCCAAGUCGCGUGAGGGAAGACGGCCCUACGGGUUGUAAACCUCUUUUGCCGGGGAGCAAGCCCGAGCACGUGUGCCCAGGCGGAGAGUACCCGGAGAAAAAGCAUCGGCUAACUCCGUGCCAGCAGCCGCGGUAAUACGGAGGCUGCGCGCGUUAUCCGGAUUUAUUGGGUUUAAAGGGUGCGCAGGCGGGCUUUUAAGCCGGCGGGAACAAAUCAGCG